rnacentral:rRNA from 1 species
UACGGAGGGGACUAGCGUUGUUCGGAAUUACUGGGCGUAAAGCGCACGUAGGCGGAUCGUUAAGUCAGGGGUGAAAUCCCGGGGCUCAACCUCGGAACUGCCCUUGAUACUGGCAAUCUUCGAGUCCGGAAGAGGUGAGUGGAAUUCCUAGUGUAGAGGUGAAAUUCGUAGAUAUUAGGAAGAACACCAGUGGCGAAGGCGGCUCACUGGUCCGGUACUGACGCUGAGGUGCGAAAGCGUGGGGAGCGAACAGG